UCCCAGUUCGGACUGGAGUCUGCAACCCGACUCCACGAAGUUGGAUUCGCUAGUAAUCGCGCAUCAGCCAUGGCGCGGUGAAUACGUUCCCGGGCCUUGUACACACCGCCCGUCAAGCCAUGGGAGCCGGGGGCGCCUGAAGUCCGGGACCGCGAGGACCGGCCUAAGGCGAAACUGGUGACUGGGGCUAAGUCGUAACAAGGUAUC
rnacentral:rRNA from 1 species